rnacentral:rRNA from 1 species
CGAGUGGCGAACGGGUGAGUAACACGUGAGUAACCUGCCCACAACUUUGGGAUAACGCUAGGAAACUGGUGCUAAUACUGGAUAUGUGCUCCUGCUGCAUGGUGGGGGUUGGAAAGUUUCGGCGGUUGGGGAUGGACUCGCGGCUUAUCAGCUUGUUGGUGGGGUAGUGGCUUACCAAGGCUUUGACGGGUAGCCGGCCUGAGAGGGUGACCGGCCACAUUGGGACUGAGAUACGGCCCAG